rnacentral:rRNA from 1 species
UGAGGAAUCUUGCGCAAUGGGGGAAACCCUGACGCAGCAACGCCGCGUGAGUGAGGAAGGUCUUCGGGUCGUAAAGCUCUGUCAGGCGGGAAGAAAUGGAUGGAGGUGAACAGCCGCCAUGCUUGACGGUACCGCUAGAGGAAGCACCGGCUAACUCCGUGCCAGCAGCCGCGGUAAUACGGGGGGUGCAAGCGUUGUUCGGAAUCAUUGGGCGUAAAGAGCGUGUAGGCGGCUUGGUAAGUCAGAUGUGAAAGCCCUGGGCUCAACCCGGGAAGUGCAUUUGAAACCGCCAGGCUCGAGUAGGGGAGAGGGAAGUGGAAUUCCUGGUGUAGAGGUGGAAUUCGUAGAUAUCAGGAGGAACACCGGUGGCGAAGGCGACUUCCUGGCCCUAUACUGACGCUGAGACGCGAGAGCGUGGGUAGCAAACAG